rnacentral:snRNA from 15 species
AAACUUACCUGCCGCCGGGAUCAUGGUGAUCAAGAAUGCUCUGAUCCCUGGUGGAGGCUCACCAUUGCACUUUGAUGGGUUUAAACUCGUGAUGAACCCUAAUUGGUGCCCUCGAGCAUGUGCUUUUGUCAGCGAGAAAGCCUCA